UUGAUCAUGGCUCAGGAUGAACGCUGGCGGCAGGCUUAACACAUGCAAGUCGAGGGGCAGCGCGGUAGUAGCAAUACUACUGGCGGCGACCGGCAGAAGGGUGCGUAACACGUGAGCAACCUGCCCGUGACAGGGGGAUAACCGACGGAAACGUCGCCUAAUACCCCGUAACAACAUAGGAGGCAUCUCCAGUGUUUGAAAGACACGUCAGUCACGGAUGGGCUCGCGGUACAUUAGCUAGUUGGCGGGGUAACGGCCCACCAAGGCGACGAUGUAUAGGGGUUCUGAGAGGAAGGUCCCCCACACUGGAACUGAGACACGGUCCAGACUCCUACGGGAGGCAGCAGUGAGGAAUAUUGGACAAUGGAGGCAACUCUGAUCCAGCCAUGCCGCGUGAAGGAAUAAGGCCCUAUGGGUCGUAAACUUCUUUUGACGCAGAGCAAUAAGGACUACGUGUAGUCUGAUGAGAGUAUGCGUCGAAUAAGCAUCGGCUAACUCCGUGCCAGCAGCCGCGGUAAUACGGAGGAUGCGAGCGUUAUCCGGAUUUAUUGGGUUUAAAGGGUGCGUAGGCUGAAGAUCAAGUCAGCGGUGAAAUGUCCCGGCUCAACCGAGGCCUUGCCGUUGAAACUGGUCAUCUGGAAUGCGGAUGCCGUGGGAGGAAUGUGUGGUGUAGCGGUGAAAUGCAUAGAUAUCACACAGAACACCGAUUGCGAAGGCAUCUCACGAAUCCGCAAUUGACGCUGAGGCACGAAAGCGUGGGGAUCAAACAGGAUUAGAUACCCUGGUAGUCCACGCAGUAAACGAUGAUGACUAACUGCCGGCGAUACAGUGUCGGUGGCCAAGCGAAAGCGAUAAGUCAUCCACCUGGGGAGUACGACCGCAAGGUUGCAACUCAAAUGAAUUGACGGA
rnacentral:rRNA from 1 species